GAUGAACGCUAGCUACAGGCUUAACACAUGCAAGUCGAGGGGUAACAAGAGAAAAGCUUGCUCUUCUUGUUGACGACCGGCGCACGGGUGAGUAACGCGUAUCCAACCUGCCCAUAACUAGGGAAUAACCUUGCGAAAGUAAGACUAAUACCCUAUAAUUUCCUUUGAAGGCAUCGGAUUAGGAAUAAAGAUUUAUCGGUUAUGGAUGGGGAUGCGUCUGAUUAGCUUGUUGGCGGGGUAACGGCCCACCAAGGCAACGAUCAGUAGGGGUUCUAAGAGGAAGGUCCCCCACAUUGGAACUGAGACAAGGUCCAAACUCCUACGGGAGGCAGCAGUGAGGAAUAUUGGUCAAUGGGCGAAAGCCUGAACCAGCCAAGUAGCGUGCAGGAUGACGGCCCUAUGGGUUGUAAACUGCUUUUAUACAGGAAUAAAGUUAGCCACGUGUGGUUAUUUGUAGGUACUGUAUGAAUAAGGACCGGCUAAUUCCGUGCCAGCCGCCGCCGUAA
rnacentral:rRNA from 1 species